AUUGAACGCUGGCGGCAGGCUUAACACAUGCAAGUCGAGCGAGGGGCGGACGGGUGAGUAAUGUCUGGGAAACUGCCUGAUGGAGGGGGAUAACUACUGGAAACGGUAGCUAAUACCGCAUACCAUCAGAUGUGCCCAGUUGGGAUUAGCUAGUGGGUGGGGUAAGGGCUCACCUAGGCGACGAUCCCUAGCUGGUCUGAGAGGAUGACCAGCCACACGUGAACUGAUACCCUGUCCAGACUACUACGGGAUGCAGCAGUGUGUAAUAGUGCCCAAUGGGCGCAAGCCUGAUGCAGCCAUGCCGCGUGUGUGAAGAAGGCCUUCGGGUUGUAAAGCACUUUCAGCGAGGAGGCGUUACUCGCAGAAGAAGCACCGGCUAACUCCGUGCCAGCAGCCGCGGUAAUUC
rnacentral:rRNA from 1 species